rnacentral:lncRNA from 1 species
GAGAGAUGAGGCUGGGGACCAUGGAUAAGGCGCGAAGUUCACCACCAGUACGGAUAGGGAGCACGCGUUUGCGGAGUGAGUGGCACGGCUUUGGGCAGCACAGAACCGAACACUAGUUCCUUGAUCUGAUCUGCACAGAACCGAACCGAACUCUAGUUCCAAGGAUCCUCCCUUCAUCACAACCCCCCCAUAUGCUCUUUGCCAGUUUCGAGCAUGUCGAAACUGGACCUCUAUGGUUUUCAAGAGGAUAAAUAUGAAAAGCCCC